rnacentral:lncRNA from 1 species
GAGGCCGUCAUCAACAUCAUCCAUCUCCUUCCGUUUCCAUGCCCUCUCCAGAAGCUCAUGGUCGACAGUUUACCGCCUGAUGACUACCAUGGCUGUAACUUAUACAGGAGGAUUCCUGCAAAAAUAGUAAGCUGCUCAAAAGAGUUUACACCAAGUGGUACCUCUCCAGUUCCGUACGAACUUGACCAUCUCCAGAAUGCUGCCGAAAAUAUCUUCGGCCCAAUAUCCUGCCUUAGCGGCACAGGACAGUACUUCUCAUAUUUGGUGCAUGCUCAGCUAUACAUGUAUUUGCUUCCAUUGGAUUGCAGGAUCGUCUCCAGAGGCUCCAUUCCAAUUCCUGGCUCAGACUCCUGCAGUGGCCCAACGUUCAAGGAAAAAGCAGAAAAAUUCAUCAACUUUGCUGAGACGACUGUCAGUUGGGGGUCCUUUCAAGAUGGAGUUCUCGACAACUGCAUGGCGUGUGAACGUCAAAAGCAACUCUGUGCAUUCAGCUCACGAAGGAAUCAAACAUUCUGCACAAGCCACGGCAAUCAUCAUGGUACUAACUAUCCUAACUGCACAAACAUGAUCGUACCACCCAGCUUUGUUCCUGAACUAGUUUUCUACUCUUACUAUGAUUCAAGCAUUCAGCCAUACAGUACUAGUGCACCGCUCUCAAUACAUAUGCUCAAAACUAUUUUUGCAGGCUAGUAGCCUACUACUAGAAAUCAUUUAGGGAACUAACUAGCUUCAUCAAACAUUUUUGCACAAUUGCCAUAAAAGUGUCACAAUAUUUAGUAAAAUAAUGAUAGAAUUAUCUUGAUCAACUAGCAGCAGUUGGACGAUACAUGACAUUAAAGAUCAUAAAACCUGGGACUUCUCAAAGAUAUUUGCUAGAAUUGAUAUUGUCUAUGAACUUAUUGAGACUGCCUCUAUAAGACUUCCUUAUGGUUUCCUCUAGAAGUAGAAAGUAGCUCGAAUAUGUAAACAAGACUGCAAGGGAACACUUGACUGGGACAAGAUAUAAUCUAAGUUUUUUUUUAUUUUUUUGCCAGGUCGGCGAAAGGAAGCCGACCAAAAUUCAUUAAGAUAAAGGAAUAAUUACAGAGGUAUACACGAUAUAAUCUAAGUUUUGGUUUGUUACCUGAUAUAACAGGAGCUGCAGUUAGAUCUUUGGUUGCUUUGAUAAUAGAUUAGUAGACAUGGGAGGUGAUAUGUGGAAGCCUUUAUAAUUUAGCCCAUAACCCACCUCAACUCAUCCUAAUCAUCCUUAUCUGGCAUGACAAAAAUACGAGAGUUAGCACACAGAACUGUCUUAUGAUGAUACUGCAAAAUAAGAUGUAAGGAAAAUUUCACUAUUGCAAAUAUAUUCAUAUGAUCAUGGUGCAUAAAAAUUUAGAGCCAAAACUCUAUCCUACCCCACCAGGGCCAUGUUCGCUGAUACAUUUUGUUGGAUUGCUCUGUUUUUAUUUUCAAGAUGUAAUUAUCCAUUAUCUGUUAAAACCACCAACCAGAACUUAUUAUCUUCGUUCAUACUUGCAGGUUAGCGUGUGAAAGUCAUUUCAGGUACUGCAGUACUCAAACCUACCUUUCUAUUAAAAAGAGAAAAGAAACAAUGUUAUCAGUACAUAUAAAUUCUUAUUGCUAGCAGUUCUGAGUCUUCUGACUCAGCAUUCUUCUGCUAAAAAAGACACCACCUGCUCUUACAGUACCCAUCAGGCAAUCACAAUCAGUUGAUUACUAGCCACAACUUUCGAUCCUAAUGCAAUGUGCUAAUUUCCCCUUCUCUGUUAAUUCAGCUACAUCAUCGGUAGCCGCAUUUGUUGUUUUUUCGUUCAUCAUGGCCACAGCACUCUAUCUUUCACUGAAGUCAAGGUAUGAUGAAGAGGUACAUUUGAAGGUUGAAAUGUUCCUCAGGACAUAUGGCACAUCGAAGCCCACAAGGUACAGUUUCUCUGAUGUUAAGAAGAUAACGAGACGCUUCAAGGAACAAUUAGGUCAGGGUGGAUUUGGAAGUGUAUACAAAGGACGACUACCAAACGGAGUGCCUGUGGCAGUUAAAAUGAUAGAACACUCUACAGGAAAUGGAGAAGAGUUCAUCAAUGAAGUAGCAACAAUUGGACAAAUUCAUCAUAUAAACAUUGCCCGCCUUCUGGGAUUCUGCUCUGAAGGAACACGGCACAUUCUUAUCUAUGAAUUCAUGCCUAAUGAAUCAUUGGAGAAAUGCAUAUUCUUGCAUGACCCUAAUACUUCUCAAGAACUCCUAGCACCAAAAAAGAUGUUAGAUGUUGCCUUAGGCAUUGCCCGAGGAAUGGAGUAUCUUCAUCAAGGAUGCAACCAACGCAUCCUCCAUUUUGAUAUCAAGCCUAAUAAUAUAUUGCUUGACUAUAACUUCAAUCCGAAGAUUUCAGACUUUGGUCUUGCAAAGCUGUGUGCAAGGGACCAAAGCAUUGUUACCUUGACCAAAGCAAGAGGCACGAUGGGCUACAUUGCACCAGAGCUAUAUUCUAGGAACUUUGGGGAGAUAUCUUACAAGUCAGAUGUAUAUAGUUUUGGCAUGCUUGUGUUAGAAAUGGUGAGUGGAAGGAGAAACUCAGACCCGAGUAUUGAGAACCAAAAUGAGGUCUACUUUCCAGAGUGGAUCUAUGAGAAAGUAAUUACUGAGCAGGACUUUGUACUUAGUAGGGAAAUGACAGAAGAAGUAGACUGAAGGUUAGACAGAUGGCCCUCGUGGCACUGUGGUGCAUUCAGUGGAACCCAAGAAACCGUCCCACAAUGACGAAGGUUGUAAACAUGCUAACUGGAAGGUUGCAGAAUAUAGAGGUGCCCCCUAAGCCAUUUGUUUCAUAUGAAAGCCAUGUUGUGCCAUAAAUCAUAGUAAUGUUAUGGGAGUUAUACUUAGUUGACGUGCUGCAUAGUAAUGCUGAUUAACUGUAUGAAGUAUGAAUCGUCGCUCUUUAUUACCAUGUAUUAAAAGUAAUAAGAAACACAUCAGUUGAUGUGAUUACCUUGUUCAGUUGUUGCGAUGUAUAUCUCCAUCCAACCACGGUGUGCAGAGUACUCCUCGCUGUACUAUUUCAGUAAGAUGCCGUCCUCGUCCGUUUCAUGGGUCCAUAUCUAGUGGCUUGCAAGAAAAUCCUGCAAGGAAAUUGAAUUAUGGCAAUUUUUCCCAUGCAGCACAAAUAUAAAAUAUCGAAGCAAAGAGUAUUAUUUUUGUCUGUUUGUCCGUGCGAACGGCCGACUAGGGUAACAUUCAUACCCUGAAUUCGUCACUGAAUAAAGAAGUAGAUUCAUAUCCUAAAUUCCUCACUGAACUAAGAAGUAUAAUAAGUUAAGUUGGCUUGGUCACAUUCCUAUCCAUCCCAUUCAAAAAGUCAGGGCCCGCCUAUCUAUCUGAUGGAAAUCUCACAGCAAACAGGAUGCUGCUGGGCAAGCAAUCGAGGAGCUACGAAUUUGCAAUGUGAAGAGAUGAAUGGGCAUGGACUCGACUAGUGAAUAAGUACACUUUAAUAAAAACUUAGGAAAAAUAAUCAAAAGCAGAGGAAACGGGCUACCUUUAUCAAUGCAAGGAGGGGGCAGCGAACCGAACAACCACCGGAUCAGGAGACCUCCCCGAGUUCUGUCAAUCCUGCGGCUCGGCGUGGCAUCCCGCUUGGGGCCUGGAUUUGCGGCUCGGGUCUCACAAGGACGCAGGGAGAAGGCGACGCAUAGCCCGGGCAACGCGCAUUGACGGCGGAGCGCAAAGCAGAGACAUCGCCGGGGAAGCAGAGGCGGCUGGGAGUCGGUGGGAUCGCCGGCGACGGCGAAGGGUUCGUGGCAAGAGAGGGAGGAAAGGGGAUUCCGUACGGUUUGCAACCAGAAACUAAGCUCGGCCUAGGGCUAGUAAUGGGGCCGGCCCUAAAGCUCCUGCCGCUA